rnacentral:lncRNA from 11 species
AUGAAAUCCAGAAUGUCUAUCUUGUUAGCUGUGUCAUAUAAUAAUAAUAAUAAUAAUAAUAAUAAUAAUAAUAAUAAUAAUAAUACAUCACACAGUCCUAGACACUUGGGAAGUGUUCGACUUGGGAUUUUGUGAUAUGAAAUCCAGCAUAUCUAUCUUGUUAGCUGUGUCAUAUAAUAAUAAUAAUAAUAAUAAUAAUAAUAAUAAUGUUAGAAAAGCAAUUGCCCCAGACUCCUAGCUUCCUCGUUGAACAUUAUAUAUACAUACAUACAUAUAUACAUAUGCACCACCUUUUCUGCCUCCUUUUCGCACUGUGUUCCUCUGCCUCUUUCUAGUCUUGAAGUUGUUUGGUGGAGGCUGGUGGUGCAUCGAGGGCUCCAAAGGGCUGAGGGUGUUUUCUUGUUUCCCGGCGUUUUUAGGGGUUCCCUGGACCGGUCCCUGAAGGAGGCUCUGGGGCGUUUCUGCGCGGAGGGCCGCUUUGCCUACUGGUCGGGGUACGUGAAGGCCCUGGCGUCCCACGUGGCCGAGACCGAAGGCCUGGGCUUUGCCUCCGUGGCCGAGUACCAGAUGCUCAUCUCCGCCUGGCGCAUGAUGCUCAUCGUCUCCGCCAGCCACGCUGACCUGAUGCACUUGUCUGACUCAGAGGUCCAGCAACUGUUUCUCGAUGUCUUAACCGGAACCAAGGCCUUGCUCCUGGUCCCGACGUCGGUGUGCUGCCUGCAGCUGGGCUCCAUGCUCUGCACCCUCCUCUUGAUCCUCCUGCGACAGUGGAAGAGCGCCUUGGGCCCCGUGGACAAGAUCGUGGCUUCCUUGACGCAGAUCCUGGACGGCGUCCUCCAGGCCGACCCCGCCAUGAUGGAGAAGACCAAGGCCAAAGUCUUCUCGGCCCUGGUCACCCUCCUCCAGGUCCAGGAGAUGAGAGGUAAGAAGGGGAAACUCACUGCCUUUCCAGAGAUUUCCAAACCACGAUACAUAUGGGAAGGAGCCGCCAUGGGAAGCUUCGCUCUUCGCUGUGGCUCCCAAGAUGAUAGAUAGAUGUCCUAUCUAUCAUUUUGUCUAUCUAUCCAUCCC